AUAGGGUCACUGAAAAAUACUGAACUUAAUCUAGUGUCUUCUUCCAUCCUCCAUUUUGUAGAAUACCGCCAGCAACUGUUAACUGUCCUGCCGAAGGGCAUUUUAACUGACAGGAAACAGCAGUGAAUUCUACCUGCAGUGCCAUUACUGUGGUAGCUCGAAACUAGCCAUGGUUGGAAUAUUUACACCAUAGAAAUUGUCAAGCAGAUAAGAGCCGUUUUGUCCCCUGGAGAGCUGAUGACAGGUGAAAUGAACGGAGUACAGAGAGAAUGUGGUCCUGCUCUACCAAUCCCUUGAGCCACCAUCUGAGCAUCACCUGGAAGGAUCUGUAGCAUCGGAGCAUCCAGCAGGUCACACUUGGAGUCCAGAGUCUCCUCUCCAUCACUGAUGAUGGAUCUGUCUUAAACAGUGCACGUCACAUCACUUUGGUGGUUAUAACCUCAGAUUCCUGGAGACGCACACUCAUUGAUUCGGACACUGAAGUUGAUAGAGUAAUUCCUUCCGCAUGUCGGGGCAUCCCCUGCUUCUAAGCUCCUCUGAUAGCUAUUUUGUCAGUUUCUUUCUGUCUUACUGCAACCAAAGUUGAAGAAGGUGUCGGUUGAAAAGGGCAGUACACAUAUUCUUAAUUUUUGGUCUGCGUCUUAAGAAAGAUUUUAAGAAGCCUUAAAUGAAAGCCUUGUGAGAGCACAGUGAGAAGAUAGCAGGAAGAAGGCUCUUAUAAGGAACUGAAGGAGCUGGUUACCUUGAUCUGAGACUUGCCAGCCUCCAGACUGUGACAAAUAAAUGUCUAUUGUUUAAGCCACCCAGUCUGUGGCAUUGUGUUAUGGCAGCCGGAGCUAAUACAUGGCUCUCUAGAAAUUUUGUAAAAGAAGAUUUGGAAAGCUCUGAGUCACGUUAGCCUUCUUGGAAUUAUUUUCCACUCACCAAAGGAGACUCAGUAAAGAGAAAGGAACUCAGGCACUCAUUUGGAUAUGAUUUGUCAAAUCAAGGAUAAAUACAUGAAUAAAUAAGUGAACCUCUUGACCUGGAAUAGAGGUCAAGAAAUAGAGACCUUGUGUGAACCCUGGAGACAUGAAGAUAGUAGACCCACUCCUGCUUUCUUGACCUUCAGAGUCAAUAGUCGAUAAACUAUUUCACACUGUAGGUUCCUUUGACUAUAUGGAGUUGGACAGCACAACUUUAGGACAAUGGUCAUCAAAGUUGGUACCUGGAUUAGCAGCACAGGAACCACCUGGAAAUUUUUUAUAAAUACAAAUUAUUGGUUUCCAACCUAGGCCUACUAGAUAAGAAACUUUGGGAAUGGGUUCCAGCAAUCUCUGUUUUAAUGAGCCUCUUAAGGAACUCUGAUUGCUUAUGAAAAUUUGAAAACCACUGCUCUAUAAAUCAAGGAAAAACCAUUGUGGGUAGAGUACUAAUGGAAUAAUUUAUGCAGAAGAAUCAUCCUCAUAGUGUGAUGCUCACUGUAUAUAUUUCACCAAAGGAAGUGAACAUUGGAAGUUUUCCCACCCAUAACUUUUUAAACAUUGGUACUUACAAUAUUGGUCUCUAUUUAGAGCAAGAAGUAAGCCCAACUCAAGAGCAAGGACCAUGUUGGGCUUUUGUGAAGUGAAAGAAAUUAAACUGGACAAGGCCAAGAUGUGGAAGGCUGGGCUUGCCAGGAUAAAGCAUUUGGAUUUUCUGCUGCAGAAAGAAUAUGGUGGUUCAAUCUUCUGUUUAAAAAAAGCAAUUGGAGUCUCUUAAACAUGACCAUAAUUUAGAAAAAAGAAAAAAAAAGAGAGAGAGAGGAACGACAUGGAUAAUUAGCUCAUAUAAUUUGGAUGAUUUUCCUAAAUGUAGGAGAGUGUAUCUUCUCAGUGAAGGAAGACAGGCAGCAGAUUUUGCUUUAUUGGCAAUGAGAAAUUACCAGAAGAAUGAGACUCCGUUCUGACAAAAGUGAAUAAAAACAAGAGGAUACUAAAUAUCAACAGCCCUGCCAUUUAGAAGUCAGGCAAAUGUGAAAUCAGAAGCAGUUGCCAGAUUUAGUAUAUGUAAUAUUUGGGACAUACUUAUAGUAAAAAAAGAAGUUUUUUAUCUCAAAUUCAAAUUUAACUAGAUGUCUUAUAUUUUAUCUGACAAAACUGAUCACAAAGUAUCAUGGAUAUGGCAAAAAAUAAUUUAUGCCUGGGUGAAGAUCACCGUGCAGUGCUAAUCCACAGAAAUUGCUGGGUGAUUAUUACUGAGUUGGAAAGGCAUUAGAUGAGGAGAUACUUCCUGAACUUCUUUUAAGAAUCAAGUUUAACUGAUCAUCAUGAUAUAUUAGCAUUUAGUAAUCGAAAAUUGAUAAUUGCUAACAGAUCAGAAUUAUCAUAUUAUGUUUAAUUGGAAACUAAUUUGCAAUAAGAGAUUAUUGUUAAUUUGUUAUAUCCAGUUAGAUGACAUAUAUUGGUUUAUCUGGAGUCCAUUGUUUGUGGCUUAGGAAGGGAGAACCCACCGUAUUCAGGGUUUACUCUCAGGAAAUAAAGCAUGAGGUUCAGCCACUCAUAUCUAGGACAUUACUGGGCAGCACUGGAGAGUAAAGUGUCCCAGGAAGAAGGGUUCUGAGGUCCUCAAGAUAUUCUGGGCAUCUGGGAUAGCCAUGGAAUGAAUUAGGUAAGGCCUAUCUCUACCUUCCUCCUGUAGAGAGUGGGAUUUUUGUCUUUUCUCUUGUUGUUAUUUCUAGAUUUAAAUUAAAGCACACUCUGAAUGCCAGCUGAGAUCACCUAGGAUGGACAGAUAUUGAGAAUUAUGCAAUUAUUGUGUUUCUGCUAGCAUGUCUCCCAUCUGAGAUUGCACGCUCAUUG